UACAGAGGUGGCAAGCGUUGUUCGGAAUUACUGGGCGUAAAGGGCGCGUAGGCGGCCUUCUAAGUCAGACGUGAAAUCCCCAGGCUUAACUUGGGAACUGCGUCUGAUACUGGAUGGCUUGAGUUUGGGAGAGGGAUGCGGAAUUCCAGGUGUAGCGGUGAAAUGCGUAGAUAUCUGGAGGAACACCGGUGGCGAAGGCGGCAUCCUGGACCAACACUGACGCUGAUGAGCGAAAGCCAGGGGAGCAAACGGG
rnacentral:rRNA from 1 species